CUACGGGUCGCACCAGUGGGGAAUAUUGGACAAUGGGGGAAACCCUGAUCCAGCAAUGCCGCGUGUGUGAAGAAGGCCUGCGGGUUGUAAAGCACUUUCGGUUGGGAGGACUGCUUCUAGCACUAAUAUUGUUGGAAGUUGACGUUACCUUCAGAAGAAGCACCGGCUAAUUUCGUGCCAGCAGCCGCGGUAAUACGAAAGGUGCAAGCGUUGUUCGGAUUUACUGGGCGUAAAGAGAUCGUAGGUGGUUUGUUAAGUCGGAUGUGAAAUCCCGGGGCUCAACCUCGGAACUGCAUCCGAUACUGGCAGGCUAGAGUUCGGGAGGGGAAUGCGGAAUUCCGUGUGUAGCAGUGAAAUGCGUAGAUAUACGGAGGAACACCUGAGGCGAAGGCGGCAUUCUGGACCGAUACUGACACUGAGGAUCGAAAGCGUGGGUAGCAAACAGGAUUAGAUACCCCGGUAGUC
rnacentral:rRNA from 1 species